GCAAUCAGUCCAAGUCCAAGAAAAGGAAGUACUAGAAAUGGUGGGCCGCCGCUACACACGAUAGGAGACAUUGUUGAGCACAUUUCAGAAAAAGGUUUUCCGGUGGGACGAACAUCCCGGAAAACUUUUUUCUGCCCGUUAGGGCUGGGUAGAGAGAGAACAGUUCUCCCAGCAGCUUCACCGUAGCCACCCUCAUUCCUCCGUCUGUCCCCAGCGAUCUGGAGAUCUCCGCGAGAGGCGCGUCGCACCUCCUAUGUCAUCUUCUCCUCUUCUUAUUUUGAGGCCGAGCCGGAGUGCCGAGUGCGUAGUCGUCGUCUCGUCUGCAGCAGCGAACCCCUUCCUGAAGUUCGCCAAAUCAGUCAGAAUGUAUACAGCAAGGAGGAAAAUUCAGGAAGACAAGGGUGUUUAUCCUUCUGUGUUUGAGCCUUGAGGAGACAGUUGCACGGGUUAAAAAUGUGAACUGUGUGGCUACUUUAAGGCAUGACUUGAAGCAUUCUACCUAUCAGCUGUAACCAUUUCUCACCUUGCUGGCUUUUAAAAGUGAUCUCAAGGACCUGUUCAUCGACUCAGCUGUGUAAGGACUUUAUGUUUGUCUCUGCUUUAUAUCCUUGAUGAAAUCCUUUUUACAAAAGGGAUUUAAUGGUGGAGGGUGAGGCCUGCGUCAACAUCCGCAAGCGCAAGGUCAUCCCGUACGAGCUCUCCAUCCAGUUCUCCUGUGAGGGCGAGGCCCAGGAUUCUUCUUUUGAGGGCAGGGCUAACACUUUUCUCAAGGGUGACGGCCUCGUCGACUUCCUUACAUUGCCGACAAGAACACAGAUGAUGAAUGUGAGAUCAAGAUCAGCAUCAAGGAUGAGGACGACAUCGGGAGAUGGACCAAGGAGGUGUUUGUUGCUACUGGCAUUCCGAUCUUGCUUGAGAAGGUGAAGCUAUACGUGAAGGCGACGAAGAAGCAAGCGCCAAAGAAGGAAGGUGUUUUCACUUUCAUUUUUUUCUCUGAAAGAAGAAUAAAAUUGUCUGAAAUGCUGCUAAGUCUGUGUCUGAUGUAUGGCAUUUCCACAUGAAUGCACCAAUGCCUAGACCUACACUCUUCCACGUAAAAAUCUGUCAGGCUAGGGCUGUGAUACUAAUGUUGGAACUUUGUUGUUCCACCCAAGAUCUAACCUGCAAUGUCCCAGCAAUAAUAAAACAACAACUCAACAAAGCACACAAGCAGCAAAGUGGAAGGAAACUUGAAGAAACCAACGGAAGAGAGAGCGAGAUUGAUUUGAUAACUAAUAGAAAAUGCAACAUGCUCCCUCUACCUCCUAGGAUAUGCUAGCAUCCCUUUUCAUGAUUGCUGUAACAAAAAAUAAACAAAAAUAUAACUAUAUGAAAAUAGAAAAGGGUAUAAGCUUUAAUCACAAAAGAGAGAGAGAGAAGCAGGCACCUGAGGUGAGCAGUUCAUGUGUGUGCCUUGCCGUGGUUGAGGGUCGCGCUUGAGCCGUGCGCUUCAAACGCCUCAAACAACACAUGGAGCAUGUGUUGGUGGCGGUUUAAUCGGUUAUAGCGCCGUAUACCGGUGCUAAAUUGCCCCGUUAUAGACCUGUACCGGUGAUAGCUUAUUCCAGUGACAUAAAGCACCGGUAUAAGGUCGUACAGCGGGGAAGCUCUUCACCGAUAUAAAACAGAAUGGCGACGACCAAAGUCACCGGUGUAGAUUACUAGCGGUCGCUUACCUCACCGGUAUAGAUUUAUAACGGUGGUUGUUACCAACCAUGUCUUCUGUUCUCCUCAUGUUUGUGAAUGAAUCACAGUAAGCUUGGAGAAGGAAGGAUGAGGAUUUGAAAUUGCUGCAACAAGAAGUCUAGAUGGUUAAUAGGAGUGCUCGAUUUCAACUUUUUGUAUGGUGGCAUUCGGAUUAGAGAUACGAAGGCUUUUGGAAGCACUGUCUGGCUCUUGAAUGGAACCUGUUAUCUGAUUGUA